AUGGGAGGCAGCAGUGGGGAAUAUUGGACAAUGGGGGAAACCCUGAUCCAGCGACGCCGCGUGAGUGAAGAAGUAUUUCGGUAUGUAAAGCUCUAUCAGCAGGGAAGAUAAUGACGGUACCUGACUAAGAAGCCCCGGCUAACUACGUGCCAGCAGCCGCGGUAAUACGUAGGGGGCAAGUGUUAUCCGGAUUUACUGGGUGUAAAGGGAGCGUAGACGGUAUGGCAAGUCUGAUGUGAAAACCCGGGGCUCAACCCCGGGACUGCAUUGGAAACUGUCAAACUAGAGUGCAGGAGGGGUAAGUGGAAUUCCUAGUGUAGCGGUGAAAUGCGUAGAUAUUAGGAGGAACACCGGUGGCGAAGGCGGCUUACUGGACUGUAACUGACGUUGAGGCCCGAAAGCGUGGGGAGCAAACAGGAUUAGAUACCCUGGUA
rnacentral:rRNA from 1 species